rnacentral:tRNA from 1 species
ACUUUCAAAGGAUCAAAGUUAAUCCAUUGGUCUUAGGAGCCAAAGUUCUUGGUGCAACCCCAAGUGAAAGUA